UACGAAGGGGGCUAGCGUUGCUCGGAAUCACUGGGCGUAAAGGGUGCGUAGGCGGGUCCUUAAGUCAGUGGUGAAAUCCUGGAGCUCAACUCCAGAACUGCCUUUGAUACUGAAGAUCUUGAGUUCGGGAGAGGUGAGUGGAACUGCGAGUGUAGAGGUGAAAUUCGUAGAUAUUCGCAAGAACACCAGUGGCGAAGGCGGCUCACUGGCCCGAUACUGACGCUGAUGCACGAAAGCGUGGGGAGCAAACAGG
rnacentral:rRNA from 1 species